rnacentral:rRNA from 1 species
GACGAACGCUGGCGGCGUGCCUAAUACAUGCAAGUAGAACGCUGAAGGAGGAGCUUGCUUCUCCGGAUGAGUUGCGAACGGGUGAGUAACGCGUAGGUAACCUGCCUGGUAGCGGGGGAUAACUAUUGGAAACGAUAGCUAAUACCGCAUAAGAGUAGAUGUCGCAUGACAUUUGCUUAAAAGGUGCAACUGCACCACUACCAGAUGGACCUGCGUUGUAUUAGCUAGUUGGUGAGGUAACGGCUCACCAAGGCAACGAUACAUAGCCGACCUGAGAGGGUGAUCGGCCACACUGGGACUGAGACACGGCCCAGACUCCUACGGGAGGCAGCAGUAGGGAAUCUUCGGCAAUGGACGGAAGUCUGACCGAGCAACGCCGCGUGAGUGAAGAAGGUUUUCGGAUCGUAAAGAUCUGUUGUAAGAGAAGAACGAGUGUGAGAGUGGAAAGUUCACACUGUGACGGUAUCUUACCAGAAAGGGACGGCUAACUACGUG